GUACCGGCUAACUACGUGCCAGCAGCCGCGGUAAUACGUAGGGUACUAGCGUUGUCCGGAUUUAUUGGGCGUAAAGGGCUUGUAGGUGGUUUGUCGCGUCUGUCGUGAAAUCCUGUGGCUUAACCAUGGGCUUGCGGUGGUACGGGCAGGCUUGAGUGCGGUAGGGGAGACUGGAAUUCCUGGUGUAGCGGUGGAAUGCGCAGAUAUCAGGAGGAACACCGGUGGCGAGGGCGGGUCUCUGGGCCGUUACUGACACUGAGGAGCGAAAGCGUGGGGAGCGAACAGGAUUAGAUACCCUGGUAGUCCAUGCUGUAAACGUUGGGCACUAGGUGUGGGGAUCGUUGUGGUUUCUGCGCCGUAGCUAACGCAUUAAGUGUCCCGCCUGGGGAGUACGGUCGCA
rnacentral:rRNA from 1 species